AUUGAACGCUGGCGGCAUGCCUUACACAUGCAAGUCGAACGGCAGCACGGGUGCUUGCACCUGGUGGCGAGUGGCGAACGGGUGAGUAAUACAUCGGAACAUGUCCUGUAGUGGGGGAUAGCCCGGCGAAAGCCGGAUUAAUACCGCAUACGAUCCACGGAUGAAAGCGGGGGACCUUCGGGCCUCGCGCUAUAGGGUUGGCCGAUGGCUGAUUAGCUAGUUGGUGGGGUAAAGGCCUACCAAGGCGACGAUCAGUAGCUGGUCUGAGAGGACGACCAGCCACACUGGGACUGAGACACGGCCCAGACUCCUACGGGAGGCAGCAGUGGGGAAUUUUGGACAAUGGGCGAAAGCCUGAUCCAGCAAUGCCGCGUGUGUGAAGAAGGCCUUCGGGUUGUAAAGCACUUUCGUCCGGAAAGAAAUCCUUGACUCUAAUACAGUCGGGGGAUGACGGUACCGGAAGAAUAAGCACCGGCUAACUACGUG
rnacentral:rRNA from 1 species